UAUUAUAUUAGAUGUAAUUUAAUAAUACUGGAGUAGUAGUAGUUAAGGUCUUGAAACUCAAAGAAUUUGGCGGUAUUUUAGUCCUUUCAGAGGAAUCUGUCCUGUAAUUGACGAUACACGAUUAAUCUUUACUUCUUUUUGUUUUUCAGUUUGUAUAUCGCCGUCGUAAGAAUAUCUUGUGGAGAGGAUAAAAUUUCUUUAUAUUUAAUUAUAAUUUAUGUCAGGUCAAGGUGCAGUUUAUGGGGGAGAAGAGAUGGAUUACAAUAGCAUUAGUUAAACGGAUAAAAUUAAUAAUGGGUUUUUGAAGGUGGAUUUGAUUGUAAAUGUGAUGAAGAAUAUUAUGUUGAUUAAGGCUCUAAAAUGUGUACACAUCGCCCGUCGCUCUCGUAAUUAAUAUGAG
rnacentral:rRNA from 1 species